rnacentral:rRNA from 1 species
GAUGAACGCUGGCGGCGUGCCUAACACAUGCAAGUCGAACGGAGAUUACGGACGGAAGUUUUCGGAUUGAAGCCUGUAAUUCUUAGUGGCGGACGUGUGAGUAACGCGUGUGCAACCUGCCCUAUACCGGGGGAUAGCAGCUGGAACCGGCUUGUAAUACCGCAUAAGUCGUCGAGACCUCAUGGUUUUGCCUGGAAAUGAGCAAUCAGGUAUAGGAUGUGCCCUCGUCCGAUUAUCCAGUUUGCAGGUUAAAAGCCUACCAAAGCAACGAUCGGUAGCCGGACUGAGAGGUCGGACGGACACAUUGGGAAGGAGACACGGCACAAACUCCUACGGGAGGCAGCAGUGGGGGAUAGUGCAAAAUGGAGGAAACUCUGAUGCAGCGACGACGCGUGAGUGAAGAAGUAUUUCGGUAUGUAAAGCUCUAUCAGCAGGGAAGAUGAUGACGGUACCUGACUAAGAAGCCCCGGCUAACUACGUG